CAGCCUCUGCGGUGCUCGAUACAGGGCGUAAUUUGGUGACCCUACAAGUAUUCCGCAAGGGAUCCUGACUCGUCCGGCAGAGCGUAUAACCGACAGGUUUCGGUCAACGCAACCCGGGCGGAGGAGCCCACCUGGACACGCGGGUCCAGAUCAGAUUACCGACCCGAUCGGCACGUCGCGGAGGCAUU
rnacentral:other from 1 species